CUUCAGUACCUCGUCCAGAUCGAAGUCCAUAUAUGUAUGCACAUAACCAAACUGAUUAGUCCUAAAAAGCAGCAAAUAAAAAAUAUGUGCAAGUCAAAAAUAAUAGAAACUAGGAAAGCAACCUAUCAGUAGGACAACUCAUCCCCACUAUCAACAUAUUCCUCAUGGUCAGGACCGAUCCUAAGUCAGGUGCGAGAGGGAGUAUAUCAACCAACUGUUAGAUUUGAGCUUUUAGAGUAGAUGAAGCUUCUACUUGACUAUUGAAAAGGCGAAUUUGAGAAUGCCACCAAUUGGUAUUGAAAGGAAACCGACCUACUGAAGGCUGGGCGAAGAAAAAUUGAGAUUUCCACCCGCUAUUUGAAUUCCUGAACCUAGAAAAUAGCAAAGGGAUCCUAGUGGUUAAAAAGACAAACGCAUUGCACUGAACUAGUUCAUGCAUCUCAAAGACACACCUAAAGAGGUCUAUGGAAAGUGGAAUUAUCCUCCUAAAGCAAACAUACAAGAAGUACAAUGCUUUUUUUCCAAGCGUUAGGUUUAUUUGGCUAGGAGUAAGAUGAAACUCAUUGAAAAUUGACACAAACAAGGGAUGAAUGGGUGGCCAUAAACCGCCAUCCAUGAUGUCCUUAUACACCCCUAUCUCGCGGGGGUCAGACUCGGGGAGCCUUUCUUUGGGACCGGGGGCUCUAUAGACAUAGUCAUCGACCC
rnacentral:lncRNA from 1 species